rnacentral:tRNA from 1 species
GGAGAUGGAUGCGUCACUGGUGGGCGCCCCGGACUUCAAACCCGAGUGUGCGGCACUAAUCCUGUCGCAGGUGGGUUCGAUUCCCACACGUCUCCGCCA